UGUUUAGACUUUUUAGAGCAGCAGAAUACAACAUUGUACCACAUGAAAUUUCAUGUAAUAUGAUUAUUUGGUAUAUUCAAGCAAGAGCUAGAGGGAGCCCAAAAAACCCGGCCUUUGUAAGCUCUAUGAAAUUCCAACUGGAACCUAAACUUUGGAAACAGGGA